UGGGGAAUAUUGCACAAUGGGCGCAAGCCUGAUGCAGCCAUGCCGCGUGUGUGAAGAAGGCCUUCGGGUUGUAAAGCACUUUCAGCGAGGAGGAAGGUGGUGAACUUAAUACGUUCAUCAAUUGACGUUACUCGCAGAAGAAGCACCGGCUAACUCCGUGCCAGCAGCCGCGGUAAUACGGAGGGUGCAAGCGUUAAUCGGAAUUACUGGGCGUAAAGCGCACGCAGGCGGUUUGUUAAGUCAGAUGUGAAAUCCCCGGGCUCAACCUGGGAACUGCAUUUGAAACUGGCAAGCUAGAGUCUCGUAGAGGGGGGCUAGAAUUCCAGGUGUAGCGGUGAAAUGCGUAGAGAUCUGGAGGAAUACCGGUGGCGAAGGCGGCCCCCUGGACGAAGACUGACGCUCAGGUGCGAAGCGUGGGGCAGCAAACAGGAUUAGAUACCCUGGUAGUCCACGCUGUAAACGAUGUCGAUUUGGAGGUUGUGCCCUUGAGGCGUGGCUUCCGGAGCUAACGCGUUAAAUCGACCGCCUGGGGAGUACGG
rnacentral:rRNA from 1 species